ACACCUUCUCGGCCUUUAUGGCUUUGAUCAAGUGUAGUAUCUGUUCUAGCAAGCUUAACAUCUUGCUUGCCCUUACGGGGGUAAAAGAAAAGAAUUUUUAGAGGGAAGUUAAGGAAAUGGAAGGCAAGCUUUUCAAGAACUUAACAAGGAUGUGCAUGGAAACAUGAUGCGUCUACCCUAA
rnacentral:snRNA from 20 species